UACGUAGGAUGCAAGCGUUGUCCGGAAUUAUUGGGCGUAAAGAGCGCGCAGGCGGUCAUUCAAGUCAGAUGUGAAAUAUCCGGGCUUAACCUGGAGGGGUCAUUUGAAACUGGGUGACUAGAGUACAGCAGAGGAUAGCGGAAUUCUUGGUGUAGCGGUGAAAUGCGUAGAUAUCAAGAGGAACACCUGAGGCGAAGACGGGUUGCUGGGCCGACACUGACGCUGAGUGCGCGAAAGCCAGGGGAGCAAACGGG
rnacentral:rRNA from 1 species